GUCGCAGAAUAGCAGAAAAUCGUCCAAACUGAUUAUGCACUGUAUCCCUAGUGAUCGAAGGCGAGCCAUGACCAGUUUCACCAGCUUUGUGAAGAUGAGUCCAAAAAGUAGGCAGGUGAACUGACAUGUCCGGUUGUGCCAACGGAAUUGUAAGAAUCUUCGGCAUGACUGAGCAUCCUUGAGGUCCAGUCGGGUGAACCAAU